GAUGAACGCUGGCGGCGUGCCUAAUACAUGCAAGUCGAGCGAACAGACGAGGAGCUUGCUCCUUUGACGUUAGCGGCGGACGGGUGAGUAACACGUGGAUAACCUACCUAUAAGACUGGGAUAACUUCGGGAAACCGGAGCUAAUACCGGAUAAUAUGUUGAACCGCAUGGUUCAAUAGUGAAAGACGGUUUUGCUGUCACUUAUAGAUGGAUCCGCGCCGCAUUAGCUAGUUGGUAAGGUAACGGCUUACCAAGGCAACGAUGCGUAGCCGACCUGAGAGGGUGAUCGGCCACACUGGAACUGAGACACGGUCCAGACUCCUACGGGAGGCAGCAGUAGGGAAUCUUCCGCAAUGGGCGAAAGCCUGACGGAGCAACGCCGCGUGAGUGAAGAAGGUCUUCGGAUCGUAAAACUCUGUUAUUAGGGAAGAACAAAUGUGUAAGUAACUAUGCACGUCUUGACGGUACCUAAUCAGAAAGCCACGGCUAACUACGUG
rnacentral:rRNA from 1 species